GGCUGUGCUGCCCUUUUGUCUGCUCUCAGAAAGCUAAGCAGGACUGGGCCUGGCUGGUACUUGAAUGACAGACCAUAUGGGAAUACCAGGUGCUGUGGCUA
rnacentral:rRNA from 1 species